rnacentral:rRNA from 1 species
CACGUAGGGUGCGAGCGUUGUCCGGAAUUAUUGGGCGUAAAGAGCUCGUAGGCGGUCUGUCGCGUCGGUCGUGAAAACCUGCAGCUUAACUGUGGGCUUGCGGUCGAUACGGGCAUGACUGGAGUUCGGCAGGGGAGACUGGAAUUCCUGGUGUAGCGGUGAAAUGCGCAGAUAUCAGGAGGAACACCGGUGGCGAAGGCAGCUCGCUGGGACGGUACUGACGCUGAGGCGCGAAAGCGUGGGGAGCAAACAGG